ACAGGAUUCCCCUAGUAACUGCGAGUGAAGCGGGAAAAGCUCAAAUUUAAAAUCUGGCGGUCUCUGGCCGUCCGAGUUGUAAUCUAGAGAAGUAAUGCCCGUGCUGGACCGUGUAUAAGUCUCCUGGGAUGGGGCGUCAUAGAGGGUGAGAAUCCCGUCUUUGACACGGACUACCAGUGCAUUGUGGUAUGCUCUCAAAGAGUCGAGUUGUUUGGGAAUGCAGCUCAAAAUGGGUGGUAAAUUCCAUCUAAAGCUAAAUAUUGGCGAGAGACCGAUAGCGAACAAGUACCGUGAGGGAAAGAUGAAAAGAACUUUGGAAAGAGAGUUAAACAGUACGUGAAAUUGCUGAAAGGGAAACGCUUGAAGUCAGUCGCGUUGGCCGGGGAUCAGCCUUGCUUUUGCAUGGUGUACUUUCUGGUUGACGGGUCAGCAUCAAUUUUGACCGCUGGAAAAAGACCUGGGGAAUGUGGCAGCUUCGGCUGUGUUAUAGCCCCUAGUCGCAUACAGUGGUUGGGAUUGAGGAACUCAGCACGCCGCAAGGCCGGGUUUCGACCACGUUCGUGCUUAGGAUGCUGGCAUAAUGGCUUUAAGCGACCCGUCUUGAAACACGGACCAAGGAGUCUAACAUGCCUGCGAGUAUUUGGGUGGAAAACCCAAGUGCGUAAUGAAAGUGAAAGUUGAGAUCCCUGUCGUGGGGAGCAUCGACGCCCGGACCAGAACUUUUGGGACGGAUCCGCGGUGGAGCAUGUAUGUUGGGACCCGAAAGAUGGUGAACUAUGCCUGAAUAGGGUGAAGCCAGAGGAAACUCUGGUGGAGGCUCGUAGCGAUUCUGACGUGCAAAUCGAUCGUCAAAUUUGGGUAUAGGGGCGAAAGACUAAUCG
rnacentral:rRNA from 1 species